GAUGAACGCUGGCGGCGUGCCUAAUACAUGCAAGUCGAGCGAACAGACGAGGAGCUUGCUCCUCUGACGUUAGCGGCGGACGGGUGAGUAACACGUGGAUAACCUACCUAUAAGACUGGGAUAACUUCGGGAAACCGGCGCUAAUACCGGAUAAUAUCUUGAACCGCAUGGGUCAAUAGUGAAAGACGGUUUUGCUGUCACUUAUAGAUGGAUCCGCGCCGUAUUAGCUAGUUGGUAAGGUAACGGCUUACCAAGGCGACGAUGCGUAGCCGACCUGAGAGGGUGAUAGGCCACACGGGACCUGAGACACGGUCAGGGGUCCUACGGGAGGCAGCAGUAGGGAAUCUUCCGCAAGGGGCGAAAGCCUGACGGAGCAACGCCGCGCGAGUGAUGAAGGUCUUCGGAUCGUAAAACUCUGUUAUUAGGGAAGAACAAAUGUGUAAGUAACUAUGCACGUCUUGACGGUACCUAAUCAGAAAGCAACGGCUAACUACGUG
rnacentral:rRNA from 1 species